GUAACCUGAGAAACCCAAAAGAUCGAACGGGGAGAUUCAAAGUUGACGUUGCUGGCUUCCUUGUGGCUCGCGAUGAUUCGGACCUCGGUCACGGGUUACGCAGUCGCUCUGGUAUGUCUGGCGACGUCGGCGUGCACUUCUCCUCUAGUAGNACGUCGCGACCCGUUGGAUGCUGGCCUACGGUCCGGUCGAUUGAGACUGUCGCGUGUCGCGUUAAUAGCGCGAUCGCGGCAGACGAUCGGAACCCGGCCGGCUGUCCGGCGGUAUAGAAUCAUUAUAAUAACUGGUAUCGAGCCGCACCAAGUGCGUUCAGGCUCGUCGGCAGGCUCGUCUCGCUCGGAUUUACGGACCCAGUGCCGUUGCCGGGUGCUUGACGCGGCCGUUAGUCGACGAUGUCCUCGGACAGGCUCUAACAUUCGUAAGGAUGUACCGGUCGGCGACGCUACUGCUUUGGGUACUUUCAGGACCCGUCUUGAAACACGGACCAAGGAGUCUAACAUGUACGCGAGUCAUUGGGACUUUUUUAUAAGCCUAAAGGCGAAAUGAAAGUGAACGUCGUCCUCGUUGUCGACGAAGGGAGGAUGGCUCGCGUCACGAUGCGAGCUCGCACUCCCGGGGCGUCUCGUGUUCUCAUUGCGAGCAGAGGCGCACCCAGAGCGUACACGUUGGGACCCGAAAGAUGGUGAACUAUGCCUGGUCAGGACGAAGUCAGGGGAAACCCUGAUGGAGGUCCGUAGCGAUUCUGACGUGCAAAUCGAUCGUCGGAACUGGGUAUAGGGGCGAAAGACUAAUCGAACCAUCUAGUAGCUGGUUCCCUCCGAAG
rnacentral:rRNA from 1 species